rnacentral:rRNA from 1 species
GACGUAGGGCGCGAGCGUUGUCCGGAUUUAUUGGGCGUAAAGAGCUCGUAGGCGGCUUGUCGCGUCGACCGUGAAAACUUGGGGCUCAACCCCAAGCCUGCGGUCGAUACGGGCAGGCUAGAGUUCGGUAGGGGAGACUGGAAUUCCUGGUGUAGCGGUGAAAUGCGCAGAUAUCAGGAGGAACACCGGUGGCGAAGGCGGGUCUCUGGACAGUUCCUGACGCUGAGGCACGAAGGCCAGGGGAGCAAACAGG